rnacentral:rRNA from 1 species
UACAGAGGGUGCUAGCGUUGUUCGGAAUUAUUGGGCGUAAAGCGCGCGUAGGCGGCCACUUAAGUCGGAUGUGAAAGCCCCUGGCUCAACUGGGGAAGUGCACCCGAAACUGAAUGGCUUGAAUACAAAAGAGGGUCGCGGAAUUCCCGGUGUAGAGGUGAAAUUCGUAGAUAUCGGGAGGAACACCAGUGGCGAAGGCGGCGAUCUGGGUUGAUACUGACGCUGAGGUGCGAAAGCGUGGGGAGCAAACAGG